rnacentral:rRNA from 1 species
UACAGAGGGUGCUAGCGUUGUUCGGAAUCAUUGGGCGUAAAGGGCGUGUAGGCGGUUUGUUAAGUCAUGUGUGAAAGCCCCCGGCUCAACUGGGGAGGGUCACGCGAUACUGAUCGACUCGAAGGCAGGAGAGGGUAGUGGAAUUCCCGGUGUAGUGGUGAAAUGCGUAGAUAUCAGGAGGAACACCGGUGGCGAAGGCGGGUCUCUGGGCCGAUACUGACGCUGAGGAGCGAAAGCGUGGGGAGCGAACAGG